CAAGAAAUAGUUUAAUUAAAAUAUUAAUUUUGGAGAUUAAAGAUGUGUAAUAUUUAUAUUUUCUUGA
rnacentral:tRNA from 1 species